GAGUGGCGAACGGGUGAGUAACGCGUGAGGAACCUGCCUCAAAGAGUGGGACAACAGUUGGAAACGACUGCUAAUACCGCAUAAGCGCACAGUACCGCAUGGUACAGUGCGAAAAACUCCGGUGGUACAGGAUGGGCCCGCGUCUGAUUAGUUAGUUGGCGGGGUAACGGCCCACCAAGACGACGAUCAGUAGCCGGCUUGAGAGAGUGAACGGUCACAUUGGGACUGAGACACGGCCCAAACUCCUACGGGAGGCAGCAGUGGGGAAUAUUGCACAAUGGGGGAAACCCUGAUGCAGCAACGCCGCGUGAGUGAAGAAGUAUUUCGGUAUGUAAAGCUCUAUCAGCAGGGAAGAAAAUGACGGUACCUGACUAAGAAGCCCCGGCUAACUACGUGCCAGCAGCCGCGGUAAUACGUAGGGGGCAAGCGUUAUCCGGAUUUACUGGGUGUAAAGGGAGCGCAGGCGGUACGGCAAGUCAGAUGUGAAAACCCGGGGCUCAACCCCGGGACUGCAUUUGAAACUGUCGGACUAGAGUGCCGGAGAGGUAAGUGGAAUUCCUAGUGUAGCGGUGAAAUGCGUAGAUAUUAGGAGGAACACCAGUGGCGAAGGCGGCUUACUGGA
rnacentral:rRNA from 1 species